rnacentral:rRNA from 1 species
UACGGAGGGGGCGAGCGUUGUUCGGAAUUACUGGGCGUAAAGGGCUUGUAGGUGGCCAACUAAGUCACACGUGAAAUCCCCAGGCUUAACCUGGGAACUGCGUGUGAUACUGGAUGGCUUGAAUCCGGGAGAGGGAUGCGGAAUUCCAGGUGUAGCGGUGAAAUGCGUAGAUAUCUGGAGGAACACCGGUGGCGAAGGCGGCAUCCUGGACCGGUAUUGACACUGAAAAGCGAAAGCCAGGGGAGCAAACGGG